rnacentral:rRNA from 1 species
UUCCGUAGGUUGAGUCGUUUGCCUACCGAUGCCCCUCGCACCGACGUUAAAGAAAUGCGCGGUCUGCACCUCGUGUGCAGGCAACACCGUUCAAGUGCCGAGAGUGCCGAGCGCCCGCCCGUCACUAUCAGCAGCCAGUGCCCCUUUGGGCAUGGUUCACAGAUCAUUCGACGGUGACCCAUUGUGGCUGAGACAUGACCGGUCCUGGCCUAUAGACGGCCUGGGAGUCGCGGAACCUGCGGAAGGAUCAUUA